AUGGAUGAUCUAAAAUACCAUUUUAGCCCUUCGAAGGGGCCAUCAUAUGGAUUAGGGUUUCGCCGUUCGUUGCUCUCCUAAAACCCUGACCUCUAUAAAUACCCAAAGACGGUGUCAUAUAUUUCUUCACGACACACGGAAUACUGAAACAAAUCGGCGAGGGUUCCAGAGACCGCAGGCGAAGAUGAGAGCCAAGUGGAAGAAGAAGCGCAUGAGGAGACUGAAGAGAAAGCGCCGAAAGAUGAGGCAGAGAUCUAAGUAGAUUGGAGCAGUGGCUUUGACACAAAGAUGGUUCGUCUUACCCAUUGCCUCUCCUCUUCCUCCAUGUUGUGAAGGAAGGAGAAUGUGGGGUAGUGGAAGGCGAGUCAUUAUUUGCGGCAAUAUUCCCUCUUUUCUCCGUUUUGCAGUUUUAACCUAGAAGUUUAUUAGCUUUUAGUGCUGAGUGUAGACACUUGUUGAGUGGUUUCUUCUUUCAGUAAGUUGUUUCUGUUAAUCUGGAUUCUUCUAUUGGUUUAAUGGAAAAUGUGUUUGAGAUUUGUGGUC